GCUGGGCAUGGUGACACAUGCCUGUAAUCCCAGCACUUUGGGAGGCUGAGGCAGGAGGAUCACUUGAGCCCAGGAGUUCAAGACCAGCCUAGGCAACAUAGUGAGACCCUGUCUCUA
ensembl:misc_RNA Metazoa_SRP Metazoan signal recognition particle RNA